GACGAACGCUGGCGGCGUGCUUAACACAUGCAAGUCGAACGAAGAUGCUGGAGCUUGCUCCAGUUGAUUAGUGGCGAACGGGUGAGUAACACGUGAGCAAUCUGCCCUUGACUCUGGGAUAACUGCGGGAAACUGUAGCUAAUACCGGAUACUUUCACCGGGGGGCAUCCUCUGGUGAUGAAAGAAUUUCGGUCAAGGAUGAGCUCGCGGCCUAUCAGCUUGUUGGUGAGGUAACGGCUCACCAAGGCGACGACGGGUAACCGGCCUGAGAGGGUGACCGGUCACAAUGGGACUGAGACACGGCCCAGACUCCGACGGGAGGCAGCAGUGGGGAAUAUUGCACAAUGGGCGCAAGCCUGAUGCAGCAACGCCGCGUGAGGGAUGAAGGCCUUCGGGUUGUAAACCUCUUUUAGCAGGGAAGAAGCGAAAGUGACGGUACCUGCAGAAAAAGCACCGGCUAACUACGUGCCAGCCGCCGCAGUAA
rnacentral:rRNA from 1 species